AAUAGGCUUGGUCCUGGCCUUUCUAUUAGCUCUUAGCAGGAUUACACAUGCAAGCAUCCCCGCUCCGGUGAAGACGCCCUAUAAAUCAUCAUGACCAAGAGGAGCAAGCAUCAAGCACGCACACGCAGCUCAAAACGCUUUGCCUAGCCACACCCCCACGGGAGACAGCAGUGACAAAUAUUUAGCAAUAAACGAAAGUUCAACUAAGCCAUGCUAUAUUUAGGGUUGGUCAAUUUCGUGCCAGCCACCGCGGUUACACGAUUAACCCCAGCUAAUAGGGAUCGGCGUAGAGGGUGUUUAAGAUCUAACAUAAUAAAGCUAAACUCCACCUAAACUGUAAAACCCUAGCUAAUGUAAAAUAAACUACGAAAGUGGCUUUAAAGCUUCUGAACACACAAUAGCCAAGACCCAAACUGGGAUUAGACACCCUACUAUGCUUGGCCCUAAACCUCAGUAGUUAGAUAACAAAACUACUCGCCAGAAUACUACAAGCAACAGCUUAAAACUCAAAGGACUUGACGGUGCUUUACAUCCCCCUAGAGGAGCCUGUUCCGUAAUCGAUAAACCCCGAUCCACCCCACCCUCUCUUGCUCAGCCUAUAUACCGCCAUCUUCAGCAAACCCUAAUGAGGGCCACAAAGUGAGCGCAAACGCCACCGCCGCGAAUACGUUAGGUCAAGGUGUAGCCCAUGAGACGGUAAAAAAUGGGCUACAUUUUCUAUUUCAGAAAACCCACGAAAACCCUUAUGAAACUUAAGGGUCCAAGGAGGAUUUAGCAGUAAAUUAAGAAUAGAGUGCUUAAUUGAACCAGGCCAUAAAGCGCGCACACACCGCCCGUCACUCCUCUCAAAUAUAUUUAAGGAAUAUCCUAACUAAACGCCCUAAUAUUUAUAUAGAGAGGAUAAGUCGUAACAUGGUAAGCGUACUGGAAGGUGCGCUUGGAUAAAU
rnacentral:ncRNA from 1 species